AGGGCGCACGGUGGAUGCCUUGGCACUAGGAGCCGAUGAAGGACGGGACUAACACCGAUAUGCUUCGGGGAGCUGUAAGUAAGCUUUGAUCCGGAGAUUUCCGAAUGGGGGAACCCAGCAUCUUUUAUAGGAUGUUACUUUUCAGUGAAUACAUAGCUGAUUAGAGGUAGACGCAGAGAACUGAAACAUCUAAGUACCUGCAGGAAGAGAAAGAAAAUUCGAUUCCCUGAGUAGCGGCGAGCGAAACGGGAAAAGCCCAAACCAAGAGGCUUGCCUCUUGGGGUUGUAGGACUCCGAUAUGGUAGUCCAGUGAGAUAGUCGAAGGACCUGGAAAGGUCUGCUAGAAAGGGUAAAAGCCCCGUAGACAAAAUUUGACUGGCACCUAGGAGGAUCCUGAGUACGGCGGAACACGAGGAAUUCCGUCGGAAUCCGGGAGGACCAUCUCCCAAGGCUAAAUACUCCCUAGUGACCGAUAGUGAACCAGUACCGUGAGGGAAAGGUGAAAAGCACCCCGGAAGGGGAGUGAAAUAGAUCCUGAAACCGUGUGCCUACAACAAGUUAGAGCCCGUUAAUGGGUGAUAGCGUGCCUUUUGUAGAAUGAACCGGCGAGUUACGAUUACUUGCGAGGUUAAGUUGAAAAGACGGAGCCGCAGCGAAAGCGAGUCUGAAUAGGGCGAAUGAGUAAGUGGUCGUAGACCCGAAACCAUGUGAUCUACCCAUGUCCAGGUUGAAGGUGCGGUAAAACGCACUGGAGGACCGAACCCACGUACGUUGAAAAGUGCGGGGAUGAGGUGUGGGUAGCGGAGAAAUUCCAAACGAACUUGGAGAUAGCUGGUUCUCUCCGAAAUAGCUUUAGGGCUAGCCUCAGAGUAAGAAUGAUGGAGGUAGAGCACUGUUUGGACUAGGGGCCCAUCUCGGGUUACCGAAUUCAGAUAAACUCCGAAUGCCAUCCAUUCAUCUCUGGGAGUCAGACUGUGAGUGAUAAGAUCCAUAGUCGAAAGGGAAACAGCCCAGACCACCAGCUAAGGUCCCCAAAUAACUAUUAAGUGGAAAAGGAUGUGGGGUUGCACAGACAACUAGGAUGUUGGCUUAGAAGCAGCCACCAUUUAAAGAGUGCGUAAUAGCUCACUAGUCGAGUGACCCUGCGCCGAAAAUGUACCGGGGCUAAAUAGUUUACCGAAGCUGUGGAACACACCAAUAGGUGUGUUGGUAGGAGAGCGUUCUAAGGGCGUUGAAGGUAGAUCGUGAGGACUGCUGGAGCGCUUAGAAGUGAGAAUGCCGGUAUGAGUAGCGAAAGACAGGUGAGAAUCCUGUCCACCGUAUGACUAAGGUUUCCUGGGGAAGGCUCGUCCGCCCAGGGUUAGUCGGGACCUAAGCCGAGGCCGAUAGGCGUAGGCGAUGGACAACAGGUUGAUAUUCCUGUACCAGUUGUUUUUGUUUGAGCAAUGGAGGGACGCAGGAGGCUAAGGAAUCAGACGAUUGGAAAUGUCUGUCCAAGCAAUAAGUCUUGAUGUGAGUCAAAUGCUUACGUCUUUAAGGACAAGUUGUGAUGGGGAGGGAAAUAAUAGUACCGAAGUUCCUGAUGUCACACUGCCGAGAAAAGCUUCUAGUGAGAAAACAAUGGCCCGUACCGCAAACCGACACAGGUAGUCGAGGAGAGAAUCCUAAGGUGAGCGAGAGAACUCUCGUUAAGGAACUCGGCAAAAUGACCCCGUAACUUCGGGAGAAGGGGUGCUGAUCUAACGAUCAGCCGCAGUGAAUAGGCCCAAGCGACUGUUUAUCAAAAACACAGGUCUCUGCAAAAUCGAAAGAUGACGUAUAGGGGCUGACGCCUGCCCGGUGCUGGAAGGUUAAGAGGAGUGCUUAGCGUAAGCGAAGGUACGAAUUGAAGCCCCAGUAAACGGCGGCCGUAACUAUAACGGUCCUAAGGUAGCGAAAUUCCUUGUCGGGUAAGUUCCGACCCGCACGAAAGGCGUAACGAUUUGGGCACUGUCUCAACGAGAGACUCGGUGAAAUUUUAGUACCUGUGAAGAUGCAGGUUACCCGCGACAGGACGGAAAGACCCCAUGGAGCUUUACUGCAGUUUGAUAUUGAGUGUUUGUACCACAUGUACAGGAUAGGUAGGAGCCGUAGAAGUCGGGACGCUAGUUUCGACAGAGGCGCUGGUGGGAUACUACCCUUGUGUUAUGACCACUCUAACCCGCACCACUGAUCGUGGUGGGAGACAGUGUCAGAUGGGCAGUUUGACUGGGGCGGUCGCCUCCUAAAGAGUAACGGAGGCGCCCAAAGGUUCCCUCAGAAUGGUUGGAAAUCAUUCGCAGAGUGUAAAGGCACAAGGGAGCUUGACUGCGAGACCUACAAGUCGAGCAGGGACGAAAGUCGGGCUUAGUGAUCCGGUGGUUCCGCAUGGAAGGGCCAUCGCUCAACGGAUAAAAGCUACCCUGGGGAUAACAGGCUUAUCUCCCCCAAGAGUCCACAUCGACGGGGAGGUUUGGCACCUCGAUGUCGGCUCGUCGCAUCCUGGGGCUGUAGUCGGUCCCAAGGGUUGGGCUGUUCGCCCAUUAAAGCGGCACGCGAGCUGGGUUCAGAACGUCGUGAGACAGUUCGGUCCCUAUCCGUCGCGGGCGUUGGAAAUUUGAGAGGAGCUGUCCUUAGUACGAGAGGACCGGGAUGGACUUACCGCUGGUGUACCAGUUGUUCUGCCAAGGGCAUUGCUGGGUAGCUAUGUAGGGAAGGGAUAAACGCUGAAAGCAUCUAAGUGUGAAGCCCACCUCAAGAUGAGAUUUCCCAUUUCU
rnacentral:rRNA from 1 species